rnacentral:rRNA from 1 species
UACGAAGGGAGCUAGCGUUGUUCGGAAUCACUGGGCGUAAAGCGCACGUAGGCGGAUGUGUCAGUCAGGGGUGAAAUCCUGGAGCUCAACUCCAGAACUGCCUUUGAUACUGGCGAUCUUGAGUCCGGGAGAGGUGAGUGGAACUGCGAGUGUAGAGGUGAAAUUCGUAGAUAUUCGCAAGAACACCAGUGGCGAAGGCGGCUCUCUGGGACGGUACUGACGCUGAGACGCGAAAGCGUGGGGAGCGAACAGG